AUUGAACGCUGGCGGCAGGCCUAACACAUGCAAGUCGAGCGGAUGAAGGGAGCUUGCUCCUGGCUUCAGCGGCGGACGGGUGAGUAAUGCCUAGGAAUCUGCCUGGUCGUGGGGGAUAACGUCCGGAAACGGGCGCUAAUACCGCAUACGUUCUGAGGGAGAAAGUGGGGGAUCUUCGGAGCUAACGCUAUUAGCUGAGACUAGGCCGGAUUAGCUAGUUGGUAGGGUAAAUGCCUACCAAGGCGACGAUCCGUAACUGAUCUGAGAGGAUGAUCAGUCACACUGGAACUGAGACACGGUCCAGACUCCUACGGGAGGCAGCAGUGGGGAAUAUUGGGCAAUGGGCGAAAGCCUGAUCCAGCCAUGCCGCGUGUGUGAAGAAGGUCUUCGGAUUGUAAAGCACUUUAAGUUGGGAAGAAGGGCAGUAAGUUAAUACCUGGCUGUUUUGACGUUACCAACAGAAAAAGCACCGGCUAACUUCGUG
rnacentral:rRNA from 1 species